rnacentral:rRNA from 1 species
CCUACGGGUGGCAGCAGUGGGGAAUAUUGCACAAUGGGCGAAACCCUGAUGCAGCGACGCCGCGUGAGUGAAGAAGGAAUUCGUUAUGUAAAGUGCUAUCAGCAGGGAAGAAAAUGACGUUACCUGAGUACGCAGCCCCGGCUAAAUACGUGCCAGCAGCCGCGGUAAUACGUCGGGGCGAAGCGUUAUCUGGUUUUACUGGUUGUAAAGGGUGAGUAGACGGCAGUGCAAGUCGGGAGUGAAAGGCGUGGGCUCAACCCCCGGACUGCUCUUGAAACUGGACGGCGGGAGUGCAGGAGAGGGAAGUGGAAUUCCUGGUGUAGCGGUGAAAUGCGUAGAGAUUAGGAGGAAUACCAGUGGCGAAGGCGGCCUACUGGACGGAAACUGACGUUGAGGCUCGAAAGCGUGGGGAGCAAACAGGAUUAGAUACCCUUGUAGUC